AGAGAGUUAGCUUUGCAAACAUCUCAAGUGUGCAAAGAACUUGGAAAGCACUUGAAAAUUCAAGUGAUGGUUACAACUGGUGGUACUAGCCUGAAAGAUGAUAUCUUACGCUUAUAUCAACCAGUUUAUUUACUAGUUGGGACUCCUGGAAGGAUAUGGGAUCUCGCUAAAAAGGGUGUUUGCGUUCUGAAAGAUUCCGCAAUGCUUGUUAUGGAUGAGGCUGAUAAGCUUUUGUUCCUAGAAUUCCAGCCUUCUAUACAGCAGCUGAUUCAUUUUCUUCCUUAACACUGACAAAUUCUAAUGUUUUCAGCAACAUUUCCUUUUACUGUAAAAGACUUCAAAGAUAGGUAUCUUCAAAAGCCAUAUGCCAUUAACCUUAUGGAUGAGCUAACCUUGAAGGGUAUCACACAGUAUUAUGCAUUUGUCGAAGAGAGACAGAAGGUUCACUGUCUGAAUACACUAUUUUCUAAGGUUUUGAUUUUUGGCUUUGUACUGAUAUGUAUCUGCACUCUAGCAUCCCCUAUAACAUAGUCAGCGUCCUUUUUAGCUGAUUGUGAAUGAUGCCUAUUUGAUCUAGUAUGGCAUUUCAUAAUAUAUAAUUGCCUUCGCUUUAUGUUUGUUAUUUUCCAAUACUAUGUUUGUGAAUGCUGGCUACGCGACAAGAUUGGCUGCCAAG